GUAGUCAUAUGCUUGUCUCAAAGAUUAAGCCAUGCAUGUCUAAGUAUAAGCAACUAUACGGUGAAACUGCGAAUGGCUCAUUAAAUCAGUUAUCGUUUAUUUGAUAGUACCCUACUACAUGGAUAACCGUGGUAAUUCUAGAGCUAAUACAUGCUAAAAACUCCGACUUCGGAAGGAGUGUAUUUAUUAGAUAAAAAACCAACGCCCUCCGGGGCUCCGUGGUGAAUCAUAAUAACUUAACGAAUCGCAUGGCCUUGCGCCGGCGAUGGUUCAUUCAAAUUUCUGCCCUAUCAACUUUCGAUGGUAGGAUAGUGGCCUACCAUGGUUUCAACGGGUAACGGGGAAUUAGGGUUCGACUCCGGAGAGGGAGCCUGAGAAACGGCUACCACAUCCAAGGAAGGCAGCAGGCGCGCAAAUUACCCAAUCCCGACACGGGGAGGUAGUGACAAUAAAUACUGAUCCAGGGCUCUUUCGGGUCUUGGAAUUGGAAUGAGUACAAUUUAAAUCCCUUAACGAGGAACAAUUGGAGGGCAAGUCUGGUGCCAGCAGCCGCGGUAAUUCCAGCUCCAAUAGCGUAUAUUAAAGUUGUUGCAGUUAAAAAGCUCGUAGUUGAACCUUGGGCCUGGCUGGCCGGUCCGCCUCACCACGUGUACUGGUCCGGCCGGGCCUUUCCUUCUGGGGAACCGCAUGGUCUUCACUGGCCGUGUCGGGGAACCAGGACUUUUACUUUGAAAAAAUUAGAGUGUUCAAAGCAGGCCUUUGCUCGGAUACAUUAGCAUGGAAUAAUAGAAUAGGACGCGUGGUUCUAUUUUGUUGGUUUCUAGGACCGCCGUAAUGAUAAUAGGGA
rnacentral:rRNA from 1 species